GUAGGUGAACCUGCGGAAGGAUCAUUAUCGAAUUUAUAAAGCUUGCCGUCUGAUGCUGUCGUCUCCGGACUUCGUGCUCGACGCUCGCCGUCCAUUCAUUCAACACCUGUGCACACUCUGUAGUCGUCUCGUCCGUCAGUAGUCUUUCCUCGCAAGGGGUCAAGCGAAAGCGAACGUGCGAUUAUGUAUUUUCAUAAACCCUUCAUACAAACAAGUCCAUAGAAAACUCAAUGUAGGCUAGGCGUAAGAACCGAUGCUGAAAUUAAAACUUAUACAACUUUUAACAACGGAUCUCUUGGCUCUC
rnacentral:misc_RNA from 1 species